rfam:Moorella thermoacetica ATCC 39073, complete genome.
AAAUAUUGACAUCUCCGAGCCGGUUUAACCUAAGGAGCGAUCUAUGGUGGCCGGCCUGGGCUGAGAGGCCCACGGGGUAUACCGGGAAACUGGUAUGCCUUCCCAGGUUUGAGUAUAAGGAGGUGGCUGAUUAGUGGC